GCUUGAGGCCCGCAGGCUGCUGGCACGUGGGGCUCUGAGGCCGCGGUGGGACCUGUCGAGGGCGGCGCGGAGGACCUGACCUCGAGUGAAUUUCCAGUCCUGCGAACCCUGGGAUACCAGCCACUGGGCCGAGGAUUCAUCACGACCUCGAUUUAACUACUACACCUACAACUAUUACAUCUCCAGAGGCUGCGUUUCCAAACAAGGUUGAUGUUUCAGGGAGAUACCAUUCAGCCCAGCGCCAACAGCAAGAUCUUUUCAGGAGAAUAAAGCGGUUCUCACAGAGGCAGCCAGGAGCCCACAGAAGUCCACUCGUAAGGAGAUGGUGUAACAAAAGCAACAAACCCAAGUUUCAAAGGAGAGAUGAAGCAGGAUCCACUGUCGCACACAUCCCUGGGAGAAAGGAAUCCGGCUGGCAAGGAGCAGAGGCAAAGAGCCGGUCCAAGAGGGGGCAAGUCACCGUCUCCUGGCCCGGACCCUUGUUCUACAGUCUGUCCAUCUACCCUGAGUUAAUGCAAUCCAGUAAGAAAAUAAUGUGCUCUUGA
rnacentral:lncRNA from 1 species